CAUUAUUGCUAAAUGGGCUUAGAAUUAUUGGCAAAGGCAAUUAGGAUCAUGUCAAUUUCCUAUAUAUUGAGGCUAAUCCAACAGUUUUUUUCCAUACCCUUGAGUCUCUCUCUCUCUCUNNNNNNNNNNNNNNNNNNNNGUACGUACUACUACUUACUUUACUUACUUACCUUACGUCUCUCUCUCUCUCUCUCUCUCUCUCUCUCUCUCUCUCUCUCUCUCUCUCUCUGUGUGUGUGUGUGUGUGUGUGGUCAAAAAGCAUCAAGGAUGCAUCAGGCUGAAUGAAGGAUACAAUAAUUAUGUUUGGGAUAUAAGGGAUCUUAUAUUCGAUAUAAAAAUUCAUUGGUGCAAAUAUCUUGAAUGUGUCCUUGAUGUUAUAUUUUUAUGGUCAAAAUAUUAUGUUCAGGAUAUAAGGGAUGUUAUAUUUUUAUGGUUAAAAUGAAAAUUCAUUGUGUGGGUCCUUUAUUCCAUUAUUCACAAGCUCAUAAAGUGGAG
rnacentral:lncRNA from 1 species